GCGUCCGUAGCUCAGUGGGAUAGAGCACGGGAUUUGUAAUCCCGGGGUCGCAGGUCCGAGUCCUGCCGGACGCA
rnacentral:tRNA from 1 species